UACGGAGGGGGCUAGCGUUGUUCGGAAUGACUGGGCGUAAAGGGCGCGUAGGCGGCGCAGUUAGUCAGGCGUGAAAUUCCUGGGCUCAACCUGGGGACUGCGCUUGAUACGGCUGUGCUUGAGGAUGGAAGAGGCUCGCGGAAUUCCCAGUGUAGAGGUGAAAUUCGUAGAUAUUGGGAAGAACACCGGUGGCGAAGGCGGCGAGCUGGUCCAUUACUGACGCUGAGGCGCGACAGCGUGGGGAGCAAACAGG
rnacentral:rRNA from 1 species